AACGUAGGAGGCAAGCGUUAUCCGGAGUUACUGGGCGUAAAGCGCGUGUAGGUGGAUCGGUAAGUUACUUAUAAAAGCUCCUGGCUAAACUAGGAGAGGUUGAGUGAUACUGCCAGUCUUGAAUAGAGGAGAGGUUGACGGAACUCCGCGUGUAGUGGUGAAAUGCGUAGAGAUGCGGAAGAACACCAGUGGCGAAGGCGGUCAACUGGCCUCAUAUUGACACUCAGACGCGAAGGCAUGGGUAGCGAACGGG
rnacentral:rRNA from 1 species